rnacentral:rRNA from 1 species
AACGAACGCUGGCGGCAUGCCUAACACAUGCAAGUCGAACGAGACCUUCGGGUCUAGUGGCGCACGGGUGCGUAACGCGUGGGAACCUGCCUUUAGGUUCGGAAUAACUCAGAGAAAUUUGAGCUAAUACCGGAUGAUGUCUUCGGACCAAAGAUUUAUCGCCUUUAGAUGGGCCCGCGUUGGAUUAGCUAGUUGGUGGGGUAAAGGCCUACCAAGGCGACGAUCCAUAGCUGGUCUGAGAGGAUGAUCAGCCACACUGGGACUGAGACACGGCCCAGACUCCUACGGGAGGCAGCAGUGGGGAAUAUUGGACAAUGGGCGAAAGCCUGAUCCAGCAACGCCGCGUGAGUGAUGAAGGCCUUAGGGUUGUAAAGCUCUUUUACCCGAGAUGAUAAUGACAGUAUCGGGAGAAUAAGCUCCGGCUAACUCCGUG